UCAAGAGGUGUGGGUUGUAUUCUUUUAUGUGUUAGAGAAAACCUAGAGAGAGAGAGAGAGAGAGUUAGAGAACUCAAGAGUUGAAGGAGGAAAGCUUAGAGAAGUGAAGAAUUUGAAGGAAAACUAAAGAAUUCAAGCUUAAGGUGAGUAUCUGCAACUAGAGUUUGCUUUGGAGUCAACCUAUUUUAGAAGACUAUCCAAAGAAAUGCCUCCAUAUUGAGGCUUUAGCUUUUGUUUUUGGCCAAGCUUUGUUAAGCUUUAUUUUGUUAAGUUUUGUUAAGCCAUGUAUGUGAUCUUAGGCAGUGUAUCAGAUAAAUGUUUGUGUAUAUUAUAAGUGUGUUGUUAAAUGUUUUUGAGUAUUUCGGUUCAUAUAAUGUAUGCACAAUUCAAUGGAUAAUAUUAUUUCUAUUUUUAUUUAUGCUUUA